rnacentral:antisense_RNA from 2 species
CUUGACCGAACCGAGCCACAGCGGGUCGUCCGCACGACCCCGGCCAUAGGUCUCCAGCAACGCCUGCGCCUC